GCCGUUCAAAAUAGGGGGGCACCCUUGACGGGUACCUAACCCAAAAGCCACGGGCAAUACGUGCCCAGCAGCCGCCGGUAAUACGUAGGUGGCAAGCGUUGUCCGGAAUUAUUGGGCGUAAAGGGCUCGCAGGCGGUUUCUUAAGUCUGAUGUGAAAGCCCCCGGCUCAACCGGGGAGGGUCAUUGGAAACUGGGGAACUUGAGUGCAGAAGAGGAGAGUGGAAUUCCACGUGUAGCGGUGAAAUGCGUAGAGAUGUGGAGGAACACCAGUGGCGAAGGCGACUCUCUGGUCUGUAACUGACGCUGAGGAGCGAAAGCGUGGGGAGCGAACAGGAUUAGAUACCCUGGUAGUCCACGCCGUAAACGAUGAGUGCUAAGUGUUAGGGGGUUUCCGCCCCUUAGUGCUGCAGCUAACGCAUUAAGCACUCCGCCUGGGGAGUACGGUCGCAAGACUGAAACUCAAAGGAAUUGACGGGGGCCCGCACAAGCGGUGGAGCAUGUGGUUUAAUUCGAAGCAACGCGAAGAACCUUACCAGGUCUUGACAUCCUCUGACAAUCCUAGAGAUAGGACGUCCCCUUCGGGGGCAGAUGACAGGUGGUGCAUGGUUGUCUCACUCGUGUCUGAAU
rnacentral:rRNA from 1 species